GCCAAUCCACCCUGAACAUGCCCAGUCUCAUCUGAUCUUGGAAACUAGGCAGGGCCGGGCCUGGUUAGUACUUGGAUGGUAGAGGAAUGUAGCUAGGAUGGGCA
ensembl:rRNA 5S_rRNA 5S ribosomal RNA